UACGAAGGGGGCUAGCGUUGUUCGGAUUUACUGGGCGUAAAGCGCACGUAGGCGGAUCGUUAAGUCGGGGGUGAAAUCCUGGAGCUCAACUCCAGAACUGCCUUCGAUACUGGCGAUCUUGAGUCCGGAAGAGGUGGAGUGGAACUCCUAGUGUAGAGGUGGAAUCCGUAGAUAUUAGGAAGAACACCAGUGGCGAAGGCGGCUCACUGGUCCGGUACUGACGCUGAGGUGCGAAAGCGUGGGGAGCAAACAGGG
rnacentral:rRNA from 1 species